CCCGUAUGAUGAUAUCAUGGCAAGUUUGAUGAGUCCGUCAGACCCAGAGAUUGUUGCUUCUAGCCUGCUGUUUGGUGGGUAAUCUUGGUGGUGUGGUAGAGUUUUAUUGCAGCGCUGUAAGGGCCCAUCCACAGUAAACUUGAUACUUUCCUUAACCUCUGCUCACCAAGAGCACUGGGACUGGUCAGGUGGGAGAUAUCAGACAGUGUGUGAAUGUUUGUGUGUCUAUCGAUGUUGGAUGAAUGUACAUGUCAGCAGGCAAGAAGCUAACGUCAAGGGGUUUUGACCAUUAUGAAUUACAGUCUUUGGUAACCUGAGGGCA
ensembl:snoRNA Small nucleolar RNA U85